CCUACGGGUGGCAGCAGUCGAGAAUCAUUCACAAUGGGGGAAACCCUGAUGGUGCGACGCCGCGUGGGGGAAUGAAGGUCUUCGGAUUGUAAACCCCUGUCAUGUGGGAGCAAAUUAAAAAGAUAGUACCACAAGAGGAAGAGACUGCUAACUCCGUACCAGCAGCCCCGGUAAUACAGAGGGCUCAAGCGUUGUUCAGAAUUACUGGGCGUAAAGCGUGCGUAGGCUGGUUCGUAAGUCGUGUGUGAAAGGCGCGGGCUCAACCCGCGGUCGGCACAUGAUACUGCGGGACUAGAGUAAUGGAGAGGGAAGCGGAAUUCUCGGUGUAGCAGUGAAAUGCGUAGAUA
rnacentral:rRNA from 1 species